AACCUUAUGGACCUGCGGGCGUAUACCUGCGGAAGGAUCAUUACCGAGUGAGGGCCCUCCGGGUCCAACCUCCCACCCGUGUUUAACGAACCUUGUUGCUUCGGCGGGCCCGCCUCACGGCCGCCGGGGGGCACCCCGCCCCCGGGCCCGCGCCCGCCGAAGACACCUGUGAACGCUGUCUGAAGUUGCAGUCUGAGACACUAGCUCAAUCAGUUAAAACUUUUAACAACGGAUCUCAGA
rnacentral:misc_RNA from 1 species